rnacentral:rRNA from 1 species
GAUGAACGCUGGCGGCGUGCCUAAUACAUGCAAGUCGAGCGAACGGACGAGAAGCUUGCUUCACUGAUGUUAGCGGCGGACGGGUGAGUAACACGUGGAUAACCUACCUAUAAGACUGGGAUAACUUCGUGAAACCGGAGCUAAUACCGGAUAAUAUUUUGAACCGCAUGGUUCAAAAGUGAAAGAUGGUCUUGCUGUCACUUAUAGAUGGAUCCGCGCUGCAUUAGCUAGUUGGUAAGGUAACGGCUUACCAAGGCAACGAUGCAUAGCCGACCUGAGAGGGUGAUCAGCCACACUGGAACUGAGACACGGUCCAGACUCCUACGGGAGGCAGCAGUAGGGAAUCUUCGGCAAUGGGCGAAAGCCUGACGGAGCAACGCCGCGUGAGUGAUGAAGGUCUUCGGAUCGUAAAACUCUGUUAUUAGGGAAGAACAUAUGUGUAAGUAACUGUGCACAUCUUGACGGUACCUAAUCAGAAAGCCACGGCUAACUACGUG